rnacentral:rRNA from 1 species
GAUGGACGCUGGCGGCGUGCCUAAUACAUGCAAGUCGAACGCAUAGCGAAAGGUGCUUGCACCUUUCAAGUGAGUGGCGAACGGGUGAGUAACACGUGGACAACCUGCCUCAAGGCUGGGGAUAACAUUUGGAAACAGAUGCUAAUACCGAAUAAAACUUAGUGUCGCAUGACACAAAGUUAAAAGGCGCUUCGGCGUCACCUAGAGAUGGAUCCGCGGUGCAUUAGUUAGUUGGUGGGGUAAAGGCCUACCAAGACAAUGAUGCAUAGCCGAGUUGAGAGACUGAUCGGCCACAUUGGGACUGAGACACGGCCCAAACUCCUACGGGAGGCUGCAGUAGGGAAUCUUCCACAAUGGGCGAAAGCCUGAUGGAGCAACGCCGCGUGUGUGAUGAAGGCUUUCGGGUCGUAAAGCACUGUUGUAUGGGAAGAACAGCUAGAAUAGGAAAUGAUUUUAGUUUGACGGUACCAUACCAGAAAGGGACGGCUAAAUACGUG